rnacentral:misc_RNA from 1 species
GCAAAAGCAAAACACUCACCAAAUUCACCCUUUUUUCUAUACCCUUAAACUCCUUAGCCGCAAUUGCUGUUUCAAGAUUGUGUUUUUUUUAGUACCCUUUUGUUAAUUUUCAUUGUUUCUUGAUUUUGCAACUUGAAAAAUGGUUGUGGGUGUUCUUGCUUUACAGGGAUCUUUCAAUGAACACAUUGCAGUUUUGAAAAGAUUGGGAGUGAAAGGUGUGGAGGUGAGAAAGCCAGAGCAGUUGCUGAAUGUUAGCUCCCUAAUCAUCCCUGGUGGGGAGAGCACCACCAUGGCCAAGUUGGCUGAGCUCCACAAUUUGUUCCCUGCUUUGCGUGAGUUUGUUCAAAUGGGGAAGCCAGUAUGGGGGACAUGUGCAGGUCUCAUUUUCUUGGCAAAUAAGGCCACUGGGCAGAAAACCGGAGGACAGAAACUAAUUGGAGGCCUUGAUUGUACUGUACACCGUAACUUUUUUGGAAGCCAGAUUCAAAGCUUUGAGACAGAACUUCCUAUUCCUCAAGUCGUAGCUGAAGAUGGUGGUCCUCCAAGUUUUCGUGCUGUUUUCAUCCGUGCUCCGGCAAUCCUUGAUGUAGGACCAGACGUUGAAGUAUUGUCAGACAUUCCUCUAUCAGCCAUAGAAACUCUUAAUUCCAAUCCUGCUAUUCAAAAGGAAGAGGAAUCUACCGAGUCUGGAAAGAAAGUAAUUGUUGCUGUAAAGCAAGGGAACUUACUAGCUACUGCUUUUCAUCCCGAAUUAACUGCAGAUACUCGAUGGCACAGUUAUUUCUUGAAGAUGGUGCCUGAAAUCGAAGGAGGAACUUCUGAUAUUGUGUCAACAUCCACCUCAAAUCAAAGCUUCGGAACGCGUUCAAUUAUUGAUUUUCCCAUAUACCAGUAGCAGAAAAAAAAAUUGCUUCAAAGAAAUGCAGAUCAUGUUAAAAGGUCAAAU